rnacentral:rRNA from 1 species
UACGUAGGGGGCAAGCGUUGUCCGGAAUUAUUGGGCGUAAAGCGCGUGUAGGCGGUCCGGUAAGUCGGCUGUGAAAGUCCAGGGCUCAACCCUGGGAUGCCGGUCGAUACUGCCGGACUAGAGUUCGGAAGAGGCGAGUGGAAUUCCCCGGUGUAGCGGUGAAAUGCGCAGAUAUCGGGAGGAACACCAAUGGCGAAGGCAGCUCGCUGGGACGUUACUGACGCUGAGACGCGAAAGCGUGGGGAGCAAACAGG